AUUGAACGCUGGCGGCAGGCCUAACACAUGCAAGUCGAGCGAGCGGCGGAGGGGUGAGAAAUGUAUGGGGACUGCCCGAUAGAGGGGGAUAACUACUGGAAACGGUAGAUAAUCCCGCCUACGAUAUGAUAACCCAUAUGGGAUUAGGUAGUAGGUGAGGUAAUGGCUCAACUAGGCGACGAUCCCUAGCUGGUCUGAGAGGCUGGUCAGCCACACGGGGACUGAGACACGGCCCAGACUCCUACGGAGGCAGCAGUGGGGAAUAUUGCACAAUGGGCGCAAGCCUUAUGCAGCCAUGCCGCGUGUAUGAAGAAGGCCCUAGGGUUGUAAAGUACUUUCAGGCGGGAGGCGUUAUCGGCAGAAGAAGCACCGGCUAACUCCGUGCCAGCAGCCGCGGUAAUUC
rnacentral:rRNA from 1 species